AGAGAAGGUAAAGAUACAGAACCAAACAUUAAUAAUCUGUAAUUGCUCCCUUACCAAAAGUAAACUCAGCCAAAAAAAUACCACAAAGAGGGAAACUUUUGGUAGCUCAAACUCAUUCAAUGCCAAAAACAAUACCUUAAUGAGAUUCAAAACCCAGAAAACAAUCAACCAGCAAUGAAAGAAACAAUCAAAAGUCCACAAAGCUACACCAAAAAUCCCAAUUUGGCAACCAACAACUAACAAUAGAAACUACUUCCCAUUAUACAAACAUCUGAAGAUACAACUUUUAAAGAUUGUGUAGACCUGACCUGACAAAGGAACAGCGAGAAUAUCUCCAGAACUAACAUCAGGAGCUCCCAUAGCAUUCACAUUCAUCAAAUCAGUAAUAGUAGUCGAAUACCUCCUCGCGAUUCCGACCAAUGUAUCAAUCUCCUUCACAACAUACGACAAAUAAACAGCCGGCAAAGAAUUGUCGGUGCCAUUGAAACAAGCACAAGGCAAGGGGAUAACAAGACUAGUCCCAACAUCAAGCAGCGACGGGUCAUUCACCGAGUUAGCUUCCUGGAUCUGCUCAGCAGAGACCAAGCCUCCGUAAACAGAGUCAGCAAUCGAUCCUAGAUUGUCAGAAGGUCGGGUUUUGUAAUGGGUAGAGACAGAUUUUCUGAUUCCGUCGACGCAGGAGCAAGUGAUUGGGAUUUUGAGGAAGAGCUUCGAAGGAAGGAUAUGGUUUUCGACGUCUGGGUAAGAGAUAUCGAUGGCGUUAGCUAAAAGGAUAGAGAUUGGGUCUACUUGGAAGAGAGAUGCGACUUCUGAGACUUUGAGGUCGGUGUAGAGUGUGUAGC